rnacentral:lncRNA from 1 species
UCUUGACUAAAGUCUUGUGGUGUGAUGUGAAAAAUUUGCUGUGCAUUUUUAGUAUGAUAGGUAGGACUAGACUCUAAAUUGUAUAUCUUUAAAAGUAGAUCAUUAAUCCUGGUGAGCUUUGAGCCUUAUAUGGAUAACAUACAAAAACCCAUCUCUUUCUUUCUUGUGUGAUUCACUCAUGUUUGUUAGUCUCUAGAACUUGAAUUGACUCUUGUUGAUGUUAUUGUUUACUUGUGCACACUGAUAUGAUAAAGGCAACUUUGUUUUUGUUUUUGUUUUUUUGUUUUUUUAGCCAGUUAGCCAAAAAGCCAACCCUAAAAUAAUUUUAUCCCUUGUUUGAAACCCCCUUGAGCCUAUUAUCUCUUUUUUGUUUAAAACUCAUUACAAGUCGAGAAGUGAAAAAUAAUAUUAUCACCCUAUUCAAAGGGUUGAAAGAGUCUUGUUUGGAGUUGUGUGGGGUUGAAUAAUUAUGUUUGUAAUAUUUCAGAAGAUGGCAGAAAAAGAAAAUAGAAAAGAAAAAAAAAGGAAUGAAAAAAUAGAAGGACAAGAGGAAGAAAAAAUAGAAGGAUAAGAGGAAGAAAAAAAGGAAUUAUGUUUGUAAUAUUUCAAUACAUGUCAAUACAUACUCCUUCGAAAAAAAUGAAUAAAAAGAGGAAGGAGAAGAGAAAACAAUUGCUAUAAAGUUGUUCAAGUGAAUGAAAUAUU